UGCCCAACAAAAACACAGGCAUAGUGUGUAUACUCUCUGUCACUAGACCUGCACCUGCGUUGGGCUAGA
rnacentral:snoRNA from 1 species